UAACACAUGCAAGUCGAGCGAUAAGCUUAUGAUUGAGUCUUCGGAUGAUUGACUAAGUGGAAAUCGGUGGACGGUUGAUUAACGCGUGGGUAACCUGCCCCAUACAAAGGGAUAGCCACUGGAAACGGCGAUUAAUACCAUAUGAGAUCGUAGAGUCGCAUGACUUACCGGUUAAACAUUUAUCGGUAUGGGAUGGACCCGCGUCUGAUUAGCUAGUUGGUAAG
rnacentral:rRNA from 1 species